UUGGAGAUGGCUCUACUCUUCCAAUCCAAAAUAUCGGUUCCAGUUUUCUUCCCACUUCAUCUGGAAAUUUUCUACUCAAUAAAAUCUUGCAUGUUCCUUCCAUUACAAAGAACUUAAUUUCUGUUCGUCAAUUUUGCAUUGAUAAUCUAGUUUAGUUUGAGUUUCACGCUCAUUUUUUUGUUGUGAAGGAUUCUCGCACUCGGACAACUUUUCUUCAGGG